UGUCUACAACACAUGAGUGUUUUCUCUGAGUCGGUAGACAACGUGCUCAUUCAACCAGGAGUCCUAGCAAGUAAGUGCUUUGGUGAUUCUAGAACCUGUUCAUAGUGACAAGGAGCCCGAAAGUUUAAGAAAAAAAAUACCUUCCACACACGUUCUGAAACUCGGGGGAGGCAAGUGAUUGACAGGUCCCAGAAGUUUGGGAAAGCAACAGCUUUUAAACAAGCUCACCAGGAAAAUAGCAAGGUGGGAAGAAAGGCCAGGUUCUUCUCUCUCUGGACUAUGAGCAGAAAGCUGAAUCUUUCUGGGAAGGGGACACAGCCACUCCAUGAAGGGGAGGGGUGCUCUCUGACCACGAACCCCAGUUCCACCAGCCAUUGCCCAUCACCCAGAGGUGCAACAGGAAUGUUGAGGGAGAACCAAGCUCCCCUGGCUGCUAUUGGUCCAUGAAAGUAGGAGAGUGGGUGCCAGGGCUCCACAGACAGCUUUAGGUAGAUGGUGAGUCCACCAACCUAUAAAACAAGUAUUCGCCAAGACUGAGUGCUCCAAUUCAACAUGGAUGCUCUGUCAGGGAUCAUUGUGGAGUCCAAGGCAGUGAGGUGCAGCAGACCUCUGGAAUCCUGCUUGCCUUAGCCUUGCUCUGCCCUGACAGCUCCAAGUGUGGGAUUCAAGCUCCUGUGUGAGAUGCCUACAUAAUAACUACUUGCAGUUCUUGGAUUCAGAAAACCAGGUGUGCUGAGCACCUGCCCUGUCUGUGCAGAAGAUUCCCACCCAUGAGUCAUACGGGAUACCCAGCUAGGGAGGACCAGAGAGAGAGAGGACGUGAAACCACCAGGGAGAUCUUGAAGCCCCAGAGAAGGAUGCAGCUGAGUAGCCUGUGGUCUAGCAGAUGGAGGAGUGGUGGUACUGAGCAGUGAGGAAUGGUUGCUCCCCAGAUGGUGGCACUGCUGUGGGAAGUUAUGGGACCUUCAGGAGGCGGAGCCUUGCUGGAGAAAGUGAGCCACCAGCACAUUCUACAAUCUCAGUGCUAGACAGGCAUGAGGAUUCCUGGGUCUGACUAGCCGGCCAGCGUAGUGGAUACUUCCCACUCCGAUACAGCGAAAGACUAUUUCUCAAACAAUGAGGUAGAGUGUUAACUGAGGAGGGCACCCAAGUUGACCUUUGAUACCCCCACCUUCAUGCAGGUCCACCUGCACACACCUACAUAUGGACACACAUACAUACACUAAAGAGAACCAACACAGCAUGACCAACUGAAGCCCAGGGCACCGUGAAGGACAACCUGAUAUUACUAAAUGUACACAUGUCAUCGACCACACCAAUAAAAUGGAGACUUUGUAAGCAUCUCCAGGGAGACCGGAAAGUGAUCAGGCAUGACUCCCAUUCUCUGUCCACCAGGUUUGUCUGGGGCUUUUGGUAGUAAAGCAAGGGAAGUCUGAGGACAGAGGG
rnacentral:sRNA from 1 species